CGCAUUGUAAUUUGUAGAGGAUGAUUUGGGGAAGCCGCCUGUCUAAGUUCCUUGGAACAGGACGUCAUAGAGGGUGAGAAUCCCGUAUGUGACAGGAAAUGGCACCCUAUGUAAAUCUCCUUCGACGAGUCGAGUUGUUUGGGAAUGCAGCUCUAAAUGGGAGGUAAAUUUCUUCUAAAGCUAAAUAUUGGCGAGAGACCGAUAGCGCACAAGUAGAGUGAUCGAAAGAUGAAAAGCACUUUGGAAAGAGAGUUAAAAAGCACGUGAAAUUGUUGAAAGGGAAGCGCUUGCAAUCAGACUUGUUUAAACUGUUCGGCCGGUCUUCUGACCGGUUUACUCAGUUUGGACAGGCCAGCAUCAGUUUCGGCGGCCGGAUAAAGGCUCUGGGAAUGUGGCCUCCACUUCGGUGGAGGUGUUAUAGCCCAGGGUGUAAUACGGCCAGCCGGGACUGAGGUC
rnacentral:rRNA from 1 species